rnacentral:rRNA from 1 species
UACGGAGGGGGCGCGCGUUAUUCGGAAUUAUUGGGCGUAAAGGGCGCGUAGGCGGCUUGAUGUGUCAAAGGUGAAAUCCCUCGGCUCAACUGAGGAACUGCCUUUGAAACUGUCUGGCUUGAGGCCGGGAGAGGGUAGCGGAAUUCCCAGUGUAGCGGUGAAAUGCGUAGAUACUGGGAGGAACACCGGUGGCGAAGGCGGCUACCUGGACCGGUUCUGACGCUGAUGCGCGAAAGCGUGGGUAGCAAACAGG